GACGAACGCUGGCGGCGUGCUUAACACAUGCAAGUCGAACGGAAAGGCCCGGCUUUUGUGGGGUGCUCGAGUGGCGAACAGGUGAGUAACACGUGAGUAACCUGCCAUUGACUUUGGGAUAACUUCAGGAAACUGGGGCUAAUACCGGAUAGGAGCUCCUGCUGCAUGGUGGGGGUUGGAAAGUUUCGGCGGUUGGGGAUGGACUCGCGGCUUAUCAGCUUGUUGGUGGGGUAGUGGCUUACCAAGGCUUUGACGGGUAGCCGGCCUGGGAGGGUGACCGGCCACAUUGGGACUGGGAUACGGCCCAGACUAGUACGGGAGGCAGCAGUGGAGAAGAUUGCACAAUGGGAGGAAGCCUGAUGCAGCAACGCCGCGUGCGGGAUGACGGCAUUCGGGUUGUAAACCGCUUUCGCCUGUGACGAAGCGUGAGUGACGGUAAUGGGUAAAGAAGCACCGGCUAACUACGUG
rnacentral:rRNA from 1 species